rnacentral:rRNA from 1 species
UACAGAGGGUGCGAGCGUUAAUCGGAAUUACUGGGCGUAAAGCGUGCGUAGACGGCUAUCUAAGUCGGGUGUGAAAGCCCCGGGCUCAACCUGGGAACUGCAUUUGUGACUGCAUCGCUGGAGUGCGGCAGAGGGGGAUGGAAUUCCGCGUGUAGCAGUGAAAUGCGUAGAUAUGCGGAGGAACACCGAUGGCGAAGGCAAUCCCCUGGGCCUGCACUGACGCUCAGGCACGAAAGCGUGGGGAGCAAACAGG